rnacentral:rRNA from 1 species
GGGUCAGUAGGUUGGUCGUGCCACCGGUACGUACUGGUCUCACUGAUUCCUCCUUCCUGAAGAACCGUAAUGCCAUUAACUUGGUGUUGCGGGGAAACAGGACUGUUACUUUGAAAAAAUUAGAGUGUUUAAAGCAAGCUAACGCUUGAAUACAUUAGCACGGAAUAAUGAAAUAGGACGAUCGAUCCUAUUUUGUUGGUUUCUAGGAUUGACGUA